CGCGGCCUAUCAGCUUGUUGGUGAGGUAACGGCUCACCAAGGCAUCGACGGGUAGCUGGUCUGAGAGGAUGAUCAGCCACACUGGGACUGAGACACGGCCCAGACUCCUACGGGAGGCAGCAGUGGGGAAUAUUGCACAAUGGGCGCAAGCCUGAUGCAGCAACGCCGCGUGCGGGAAGAAGGCCCUAGGGUUGUAAACCGCUUUCAGCAGGGAAGAAACUGACGGUACCUGCAGAAGAAGGUGCGGCCAACUACGUGCCAGCAGCCGCGGUGACACGUAGGCACCAAGCGUUGUCCGGAUUUAUUGGGCGUAAAGAGCUCGUAGGCGGUUCAGUAAGUCGGGUGUGAAAACUCUGGGCUCAACCCAGAGAGGCCACCCGAUACUGCUGUGACUUGAGUACGGUAGGGGAGCGGGGAAUUCCUGGUGUAGCGGUGAAAUGCGCAGAUAUCAGGAGGAACACCAGUGGCGAAGGCGCCGCUCCGGGCCGUAACUGACGCUGAGGAGCGAAAGCGCGGGUAGCAAACAGGAUUAGAUACCCUGGUAGUCCACGCCGUAAACGUUGGGCACUAGGUGUGGGUCUCAACCAACGAGAUCCGCGCCGUCGCUAACGCAUUAAGUGCCCCGCCUGGGGAGUACGG
rnacentral:rRNA from 1 species